ensembl:rRNA 5S_rRNA 5S ribosomal RNA
UUCUUCAGUAGUCUCUUCUCAUGCAAUCUCGUCUGAUCUCGGAAGCUAAGCAGGGUCGGGUUUGGUUAGUACUUGGAUGGGAGACCGCCUGGGAAUACCAGGUGCUGUAAGCU